AUUUUGUGAAAAAAGAGGCAUGCCAUGUAUAUUGCUAACUGCAUAUUAUUACUAAGUAUGAAUAUAUAUAACUUUCCCUCUUUUUCGCCUACUCUGGCAGGGCAAUGCAGAAUGUUCGUCCCUAAACUGUAGGUUAAUCAUAGGAGCACUGACACCAGAUUUUAUGAGGCUUACUCUGUUUCUUUAUUCAGUAAACGUGAAGGAGCUGAGAGAAACAGCAGAGGAAACCAAAGGGCUGUCCAUUCUGAUGCCCAUGAUGAGACAUACACAGCUCUCAACCCCAGGAGCACAUCCUCUGAGUAUGACACUCUGCAGACCUCAGUGUAUGAGAAUCUGCAGAGAAGAGAGACGCCCCAGUCAGAGAUGGAGCUGAAGGAUCUCGGGAUGAGAUGCCAACACCAACCAUGACUUCUGGACUCUCCAUCUCAUACUUACUGCUGCCACAGUCUAACGUUGUAAAGGGAUCUUAUUAUCAGUGCUAACAUUUCCCUGCUUUCCCAUGCUAGGGACAUUUAAUGUUUCUCCAUUGGUGUAGGUUUCUAUGACUGUCAUCAUCAUUUAGCACCAGUCAACCUCUAAUCUUAUCAACUUUCUAUUGCAUUUUGUAAUGUAUGCAUUGUAGAAGUUACAUGUCUGUGUAUUUUUCUUUUAACGUACACACUCUUAGUUUACCCAUGUGGCUUAGUUUAAAAUAUGGCUUAUUAGCAUUAUUUGUCAGGAGCUGUGGCGUCACGGUCUCUGGAUUCUUAUUUGAUUUGAUUGUCUUUAAUGUAUGUCACAAAUGUAAUGUUUUGGAUAAUUUUGUUCUCUGUUGAUGUCCAUAAUGACGUUUUAUCCUACAGAAAUCUGUUAUUCUGUUUGUGUAUUUGAUUGUGUACUUCAUGUUGAUAUUAAAAAAAAUAUA